rnacentral:rRNA from 1 species
GCUUACGGCCACACCGCCUGGUUCACGCCCGGAUCUCGGAAGCUAAGAUAGGUUGGGCCUGGUUAGUACUUGGAUGGGAGACCGCCUAGGAAUACCAGGUGCUGUAAGCC